GACGAACGCUGGCGGCGUGCCUAAUACAUGCAAGUAGAACGCUGAAGAGAGGAGCUUGCUCUUCUUGGAUGAGUUGCGAACGGGUGAGUAACGCGUAGGUAACCUGCCUUGUAGCGGGGGAUAACUAUUGGAAACGAUAGCUAAUACCGCAUAACAAUGGAUGACCCAUGUCAUUUAUUUGAAAGGGGCAAAUGCUCCACUACAAGAUGGACCUGCGUUGUAUUAGCUAGUAGGUGAGGUAACGGCUCACCUAGGCGACGAUACAUAGCCGACCUGAGAGGGUGAUCGGCCAAACUGGGACUGAGACACGGCCCAGACUCCUACGGGAGGCAGCAGUAGGGAAUCUUCGGCAAUGGGGGCAACCCUGACCGAGCAACGCCGCGUGAGUGAAGAAGGGUUUCGGAUCGUAAAGCUCUGUUGUAAGUCAAGAACGAGUGUGAGAGUGGAAAGUUCACACUGUGACGGUAGCUUACCAGAAAGGGACGGCUAACUACGUG
rnacentral:rRNA from 1 species